UCUCGGCAACGGAUAUCUCGGCUCUCGCAUCGAUGAAGAACGUAGCGAAAUGCGAUACUUGGUGUGAAUUGCAGAAUCCCGUGAACCAUCGAGUCUUUGAACGCAAGUUGCGCCUGAGGCCGUUAGGCUGAGGGCACGUCUGCCUGGGCGUCACAU
rnacentral:rRNA from 1 species